AGUUGCACUAAAAGUUUUAGUGUAAAAUCGACUUUGUUGAAUAAAAUUCUGGGUAGAAUUAUGAUAAUGACAUUAUCUGUCCAUAAGUCUUGACCAAAUUACGUGCCAGCAGUCGCGGUAAUACGUAGAAGACAAGUGUUAUUCAUCUUUAAUAGGUUUAAAGGGUACUUAGACGGGAAAUCAAGCCUCAAAAAGGGACUAAUUUGCUAGAGUUUUAUGUGAAAAAGUAUUAAAGUACUACUGGUGUAGAGAUGAAAUUCUGUAAUACCUUAAAUGGCACAGGUUAAGGCGAAAGCAUCUUUUUAUGUAAAAACUGACGUUGAAGGACGAAGGCUUUGUGUCUCGAACAGGAUUAGUUACCCUAGUAGUCUAAGCAGACAAUGAUGAAUGUCAUAGAUUAGAUGUAAUUUGAUCUAUAAAUGAAAGUGUAAGCAUUCCACCUCAAGAGUAAUUUGGCAACAUUGGAACUGAAAUCAUUAGACCGUUUCUGAAACCAGUAGUGAAGUAUGUUGUUUAAUUUGAUAAUCCGCAAAAAACCUUACCACAAUUUGAAUAGAUAUAUUUUAUCAUACAAGCGUUGCACGGCUGUCUUCAGUUAAUGUCGUGAGAUUUUGGUUAGUUCCAUAAAAUUAACGUAAACCCUUACUUUAUUUUAAAUAAAGUAGUUCACCG
rnacentral:rRNA from 1 species